CUGCUGUGAUGACUUCUUAGGACACCUUUGGAUUAAUGAUGAAAAGAAUUAAACAAACUCUGAGCAGC